rnacentral:tRNA from 1 species
GGGGAGAAAUGGGGGAAUUUGUUUUUUGGCAAUUUUCACAAGGCUUCUGCAUCAAGCCUUAGAAGAAUUGUUGAGUAGAUUGCUAAUCUGUUGAUGCCUUUAGGGGUAUCCGAGGGUUCGAAUCCCUCCCUCUCCG